rnacentral:rRNA from 1 species
UACAGAGGUCCCAAGCGUUGUUCGGAUUCACUGGGCGUAAAGGGUGCGUAGGUGGCGAGGUAAGUCGGAUGUGAAAGCUCGGAGCUCAACUCCGAAAUGGCAUUGGAAACUACCUUGCUCGAGGGUUGGAGGGGGGACUGGAAUUCUCGGUGUAGCAGUGAAAUGCGUAGAUAUCGAGAGGAACACCAGUGGCGAAGGCGAGUCCCUGGACAACUCCUGACACUGAGGCACGAAAGCUAGGGGAGCAAACGGG